GAGGAAUUCAAUGAGAGAGGAGGUACCCUGGUUGUGCAGCGCUACCAGACUGCGCCAUGAAGCCUUGCACUUCUUCACCUGCUUUUGUCCUUCCUCAGAGCUACUAUGAAAAGAGAUGCUGCUGCUGAGUGAGUCUUCCACGAGGCUGAGAGAGCAGUGGCGAGAUGACCUGAGGGAGGAGUGAUGGUCUCCAAAUGCACUAACACAAUGAUGGACACUUCCUCUGCAGCGCCAGCUAAUCAUUGUUGCAGAUUCGUUUACACUGGUCCAAAAUUACUCCCUGAAUGACCGCCUUUGCAUAUUAAACAGACAAACAGACAAUAGGGACACACUGUUGGAGGACAUGAGAGCAGCUAAACACCAGCAGUGUCGUGAUAGUCUGGGGAACAGUAGAUUCAUAAUACUGUAUGUACAAAUGGGAAUUCACCGGCUGAUUGAUAGCAUAUUAAACAGAAUUGUGUUACUGCCUAUCCACUGCACAUUUUGACAAGGCACCUGCAAAACUGUUUUCAACAUACAUCAGCACCUAUUCAGCAUAACUGCAUAUAAAGUGCAUUGCAUCUCACUGUACCAGAAAAAGGAGGCUAUCAGGAGAAAGAAGUCUGGAGAGGAAAGCACAGAAAGUGCAUGGCUACAGGCAUGCAAUCAGCUAAGAAUUCAAAAUCUCGCCCAGUUUAUACAGUUCUAUAAUCAGAGAGCAAAGAAGAAAAAACAGCGCCAUUGGCACAGCAGCAAGGAGAUUCAAAACAUUUUCAUUAGUGAGCGAAAAAUAAGUACUCCUUAGUGAAAGCAUUGCUUCUUUUUGCAUAAGUUUGAUGUUUAAGACGGAAGAUUAGGAGGACAGGGGUUUUUUUGUCAAGUCUGAACUCUGUAAAAGCCUUUCUUACUAGUUACACCAUCUAAUAUAUAUUGUUGUUUCAUCCAUUGUCAGUCAGACACUGGAGCACCAAAAAUAUGAAGCAAAAGUAAAGCAAUAAUAAAAAAAUGUAAUUUCACCUAUUGAUUAAAGUUGUGAUAGUGUAAUGCAAAAAUGUAUACGUUAUUUUAUUAUUUUACAAUUUUUUCCUGAUUUGCUUCCUUACUGAAAAUAUGGUCAAAAUAAAGAAACUAACAAUAUCUUUCCAUUGAGGUUAAGAAAGAUCUACUAGUCUACUGAAGACUGCAUAGGGGUGUGCUUAAACAGAGGACACAAGGUAACGUAAUUACACUAGUAUUAAGCAAGAGUAUGUGUUAUUAUAUCUAUGUGUCAAUAUGCCAUUCUGCCUGUAUGCCAUGAAGCCAACAUGCCACUAUGUCAAACUAAUUCCAUCAUGUUAAUAUGCAAACAUGUCAUUAUAUCACAGGGUCAAAAUGUCAUUAUGUCGGGGCGCGCCGAUAGCUCCCUGGUAGAGCGUGCGCCCCAUGUACAAGGCUGAGUCCUUACCACAGGGGCCCGGGCUUGAGUCCAACCCGUGACUAGUCUUCCGGACUACAGUCUAUUGUUUUGAUAUCCUUGUAGCUCAAACCUUCUGUUUAUUUUAUUUCAGAUUUUCCGUCACUGCCUCAGUGUCCUUCUGUUGUCAUCUGCUCAGUCUUUUAUCUGUCAUGACUAUGAAGUGCUCCGGAACUUGUUUUGAAAUAAGAUACAUAUAAUAUUAUACUAUUAUUAUAGUUAUUAUUAGGGAUCCAUGCACAACUGUUUUGUUUUGCUUCAUUGUCUUUCUGCUCAUUCUUCUUCCUCCUCAAUGUGCUGUGGGUCCUUGCACACCAUAGGACCCACAGCAUCCAAUCUUUCCUGACAGGUUUAAAUUCUGCCUAUACUCAGUCAGUAAAAAUGAUAUGAAAUGACCAGAUUAAUGCAGUAUAAUUAACAAACGCUUCUACAUUUUGGCCGAAAACUUCUAAAUCACUUGUUGUACAAAUAUUUCGACUAGAUUUUCAGUCACAGAAGCAAAUCAUUUUGCACAUAUUGACAAUAUUUUUAAGAUUUUAUGCUCCAUUGACUCAGCAUUAUUGAAAGAGUU